rnacentral:lncRNA from 1 species
GUUUCCCCCGCCCCCAAUACCGGCUGAUCAACCCAGUUGCAAUCCUCCCCGCCAACGCGUGGUCGACCUCUCCUUCUAUAACUGAGCUCACCACUGUGAACUCCCCUAGAUGAGAACCCUCAUUGCCAUUGGAAGGCACCUUGGACCUAAGGAGUGGACUGUCACUGAAUUCCAUCAAAAUCCAAUGAGCAACCCGCCGAGGUUACAACAAUCAUGUUAGACUAAGAAGAGCCUUGGGUUCCAGUCCCUUGGACAGGCCGUCCAGAGUCCAGACCGAUGCUGCGCCUCAUUAGACAGCAGCGAAACAUACAACUCGAUGUUAAUCAAAGUGA